GAUGAACGCUAGCGACAGGCUUAACACAUGCAAGUCGAGGGGCAUCGGGACGUAGCAAUACGUUGCCGGCGACCGGCGGAUGGGUGAGUAACGCGUAUGCAACCUGCCCACGACAGGGGGACAGCCCGUUGAAAGACGGAUUAAUACCCCAUAAAACAGGGGUUCCGCAUGGGACUAUUUGUUAAAGGUUUUUCCGCGAGGGGGAUCCGGUUGUGGAUGGGCAUGCGUUCCAUUAGGCAGUUGGUGGGGUAACGGCUCACCAAACCGACGAUGGAUAGGGGAACCGGGAGGUUGGUCCCCCACACUGGUACUGAGAUACGGACCAGACUCCUACGGGAGGCAGCAGUGAGGAAUUUUGGUCAAUGGACGGAAGUCUGAACCAGCCAAGUCGCGUGAAGGAAGGCGGCCCUAAGGGUUGUAAACUUCUUUUGUAAGGGAAUAAAGGCCGGUACGUGUUACCGGUUUGCAGGUACCUUACGAAUAAGGAUCGGCUAACUCCGUG
rnacentral:rRNA from 1 species